rnacentral:rRNA from 1 species
UGGGGAAUUUUGGACAAUGGGCGACCUUUUGAUCCAGCCAUGCCGCGUGAGUGAAGAAGGCCUUCGGGUUGUAAAGCUCUUUCAGAUGGAAAGAAAACGUACAGGUUAAUACCUUGUGCGGAUGACGGUACCAUCAGAAGAAGCACCGGCUAACUACGUGCCAGCAGCCGCGGUAAUACGUAGGGUGCGAGCGUUAAUCGGAAUUACUGGGCGUAAAGCGUGCGCAGGCGGUUAUGUAAGACAGAGGUGAAAUCCCCGGGCUCAGCCUGGGAACUGCGUUUGUGACUGCAUAACUAGAGUACGGCAGAGGGAGGUGGAAUUCCGCGUGUAGCAGUGAAAUGCNUAUAGAUGCGGAGGAACACCGAUGGCGAAGGCAGCCUCCUGGGCCAGUACUGACGCUCAUGCACGAAAGCGUGGGGAGCAAACNGGAUUAGAUACCCUGGUAGUCCACGCCCUAAACGAUGUCAACUAGUUGUUCGGUGAGGAGACUCAUUGAGGAACCGCAGCUAACGCGUGAAGUUGACCGCCUGGGGNAGUACGGCCGCNAGGUUA